rnacentral:misc_RNA from 1 species
CCGAGUGAUAGCAGAUUUGUGUAGUGUCCACACAGAUUGUCUGAUAGAGAAGAGCCGGAUGCGGUAUAGGCUUGUAGCUCAGGUGGUUAGAGCGCACCCCUGAUAAGGGUGAGGUCGGUGGUUCAAGUCCACUCAGGCCUACCAGUUUUUCCGGGAAACACGAUGGGGCUAUAGCUCAGCUGGGAGAGCGCCUGCCUUGCACGCAGGAGGUCAGCGGUUCGAUCCCGCUUAGCUCCACCAUCCUCUUCUUGCCACCUUAAUAAUUUCAGAACACAUUCCUGGCAGUGUGUUGUGAAAUUUAUGCUCUUUAACAAUCUGGAACAAGCUGAAAAUUGAAACAAUCCGUGCCGUUGCGACAAGGGCACGGGUGAGUCUCUCAACACUCCGACUCGAAGACACCUUCGGGUUGUGA